rnacentral:lncRNA from 1 species
AUCAAACGAAGAGUUACCCUGCGUGCGCCACACAGGCAACAGUUCAGGCACCGCACCGGCGCACCGUCCCGCCCCUCUCCCUGCGCGCCUGCCCCGCCGCCCGCCACGUAUGAGACCCCCUCCCCCCGCGCCGGGCGCCGGCCCAGCUCCUCUGAGGUACCGCCGACCCGCCUGGGAAGUCCGCCGCUCCGCCCCCAAGUCCUGGCUUGACGGGCUCCGGUCAGGAUCUCGCUAGGCGCGGCUGUUGGGAGUUCCCGAGUGUAACGACACAGCUGGUGCGGCGGUAAGUCUUGGUUCUUGUCAGACACUCAUACAAAUUUAACUGCAGUAUGAUCAAUUUCUAAGCAGAAGAUGCCUAGAGCAUCUUAAGAUGACAGGGUAGAGUCUUCAUAUUAUACAGCACAUGCCCACAUUUUACAAUGCGGUCUUGAAAUAUUUGUGUUAGGCAUUAUGUACAGCGGGAUAUUACGCUCAUUUACACAUCGACGGGGGGAAUGCACAUUUCAAAAUCAGAAGCACAAGAUUUCCUUCUAAAUGAUUACAAUCUUACGCUACAUUGACACAAUAAAUUUUCAUUCUAGUUUUCGAAUUCCUCUUCAAGCCCCAAAGAAUAAUGCGGCACAGUUACAGAAACAGCAACAAAAGGUGGUCGGGGAAGAUGUACAAUGUGGAUAGAUAUCGGAACCAAAACUGAUCCUAGGUAUUAUGAUGACGCUGAUCGAAGUUCUACCAGUGAAGCGUACACCCCAUCUUUUAUGUUCAUCAGCACCUCGUGUCUUCCUUUCUCAACUAUUGCACCAUCCUUGAGAACCGCAAUGAUAUCAGCACCUUUGAUCGUCGAGAGGCGGUGAGCCACAACAACCGUGGUCCUGCCGACCAUCACAUUGUCUAAUGCAUCCUGCACAAUUCGCUCGGACUCAGCAUCCAAGGCACUAGUCGCCUCAUCAAGUAGUAGUAUCUUAGGGUCCUUCAAUAUGGCCCUUGCAAUUGCCACUCGCUGCUUCUGGCCACCCGACAGCUGUAUCCCCCUCUCCCCAACUGUGGUGUCAUAUCCUUGGGGAAGGCUUGAUAUGAACUCAUGCGCAUUGGAUGCCUUUGCAGCUGCAAUGAGCUCCUCCUCAGUAACUUCCCCAUCCUUACCAUAGGCUAUGUUGGCACGGAUUGUAUCAUUGAAGAGUACAGGCUCUUGGCUCACAAGUCCCGUUUGAUCCCUCAACCAAUUGAUGUUUAAGCUCUUGAUUUCCACUCCAUCCAAUGAGAUGGUGCCUGAAUCAGGAUUGUAGAAUCGCUCCAACAGUGCAAUUACCGUUGACUUGCCGCUACCACUCUCUCCAACAAGGGCAACAGUCUGUAAGACCACAGUGAAAGUAAGCUAAUAUGUAAAUCACUGUAGAAGAUAUAACAAUAGUGAUUUGGAUAGAAAAAGGUGGGCUAACCUUGCCAGAGGGAAUGUGCAGGGUAAAGUCACUGAAGAUCUGAAUAUCUGGGCGGGUUGGGUACUUGAAGCUGACAUGCUGGAAAUCGAUGUUGCCCUUGACCUCAUCUAAUGUCAAACCCUCAUUGCGGCUUGAGUCUAUUUCAGACUUUCGGUCCAAUAAAGCAAAUAUGGAAAUAGCUGACUCUUUUGCUUUUGUUGAAUCGGUGGCCAUUGCACUUGUUUGAGAUACUCCAAUAGUUGCUAAAACCAGUGCAAAGAAAACCUGCAAAGUAUGACUAACUAUGUGAACCUCGUGGAAGUAGUGACUGGUUAAGGAUGGAGGGAUUAAGACUGAAAAACUUAAUAUGAAGAAGAAAUAAUUAUUACUCCCUCUGUAAAUAAAUAUAAGAGCAUUUAGACCACUACUUUAGUGAUGUAAACGCUCUUAUAUUUCUUUACAGAGGGAGUACUUCUGAAAUAAUGCAAUUACGUACCUUGAAAACAUCACCAAAACUUGAUUGGCCAUGGCGCACAAAUUGUGCUCCAACAUAGAAACAAAGACCAUAUGUAAGGUACAGCAUCAAGAAUGAGAAACCAAAUCCGAUGCCUCCAACUAUUCCUGUUCUGACUCCUUGACUCAUUGAGGCUUCACAUUUAUCAUCAUAUAUUCUUGUAAUUCUUUUCUCAGAACAAAAUGAAGCGACGGUCCUAAUACUACUAAUUGCAUCAGUGGCCACUUGACUUGCGUCUUCAUACAUCAUCUGGAGAACCAGCAAUUCAUUAGCAUUGACAUAACAAUUUUCAGAAUGUGAAAACUAAUUAUCUAGAGUAAACUCAGAUUCUUAUUACUCGAUGAUUUUUUUUAAAUGACUUCACUUUAUAGCCUUGACUGAAUAAUUGUCAUCUUAUCUUACUGUUACAUAAAUAGAAGUUUGUGUGUUAAGAAAAAAGGGAGCUUGUAGUGGUUGUUCACACCCAUGUUUCCCACCUCGCUAAAAAUCUAUAACAAAAAAUAAAAACAAGCUAACUAACUGAACACAUAGACCUUAAUGAACUAAUUUGACCACCUAAAAAUUCUCAGACAAAAAUGGAGCAUGGCACGGGUCAAAAAGAAAGUAUGACUAGGUGUUACUGUGGAGCCAAGGGCACAGAGUAAGGUUUUAAGCUGAGCAAGAAUGUGGAGGUGUGACUUCGGCCAAGGCAGAAGUCGGAUGGGAUGACGGCGUAGGGGAGACCUGAGGCAGUCUGAGCCGAUGAAUGGCUUAACGUGAACAGUUUCUUUUUACCGGCGGCAAAGCACUAAGCAUGUCUAUUAGAUUGUAGGUCUAGCUUCACAAUUAGAAACUGAAUGCUCUACUAAUUACUCCCUCCAGUUUCCCAAAUGUGUCGUUUUGCACAGAGGCAGAAUUUUUGUUGGACCUUUUAAAUAUGUUACAAUAAAUUAGUGGUUCUAACAGAAGACCCGCUAAUGAAAUAUAUCACACGAAACUUCUGUCCUAAGUAACAACUUAUAUGGAACUGCAUGGAGUAUCAUUUAGUUUUAGUAAUUAUUUGCAAAAUAUCACAUUGCUAGAAAAACAGCCUAAUGGCUUCUUUUGAUGGGUUACCUUGGCAUCUUGACUGAAACCCUUCAAGAACUUCACUUGGGCAUAACCUUGAAGGCCCACUAAUGGAAUCACACAGAGGAUGAUCAAAGAGAGCUUCCAGUCAGCUAUCAUAGCAAUGACAAACCCUGUGAUAAGUGUAGAGAUAAUCUGAACCGUUAAGGCCAAGUUAUCUCCCACUAAACGCCGUACAUUCAAAGCAUCAACUGACAGUCUUGCACCAAGUGCUCCGCUGUAAGAUAUAAUUUGGCAGUCAGUACCUAAAAGUAAAGCUCACAGAUUCUAAAGGAAGAAGAAACCAAGCGAAAAACUGUAACAAACCUGGAAUUUUUAGGAUCAUCAAACCAAGCGACUUCUUGGUGCACAAUGCUUCGAAAUGACAUAGCACGGAUACGCUCUAUAAGCUUCCCUCCGGCUAUUCCAAACAAGAAGAGCUCUGCGGGUAUUGAGAUUAUCGAAAUGAUACCCAGCACCACACACAUCAAACCCCAAAAGCUAGAAUCCUUUCUGAGUUUAUCUGGUGGCUCAUAGAAAGUUUUAAUGGCACUGGAAAUCAUCACACCGAACAUUGGGAAAAGCACUCCGUGAACUGCUGCAGCUAGGGAUCCUAACAGAAUAAUAAGUACCUCUGGUUUAUUAAGAAGUGCCAGCCGUCCCAUAGGAGCUUUCUUUGGAACCUCACCAUCCUGCUCUGUAUGAUUCUCCCCAUGUGUAUCAUUUCCUUCAGGCAAUUCAACUGCGCCAGGAAGCCCAAAGGAGAGGUUGAAAGAAUUCCUACUACUAUUCCCUGCAGAACCUCUGCUAAUCGAUCGCUUCAAUGACAAGCUUGUACUCUUAGACCUUGGAUCCAAUCUUCUAUGGUCUACUUUCUGCUCUUCUUCAUUGUUUUCUUGAAGCCUAAUUAGUUGAGAGUAUGCACCAUCUGGGUUUACUACCAAUUCAUCGUGGGGACCUAUAUGAAACAUUCAUUUUGUGUAGAAAAUUGAUCAGUUUAGUCAAAAUAUGCCAAAGAAGUGAUUAAUAAAAGGUGAGUGAUGAGAAUGUAAUCUUGACCUUGUUCAACUAUCUUUCCUUGUUGAACAACUGAUAUGCAAUCAGCAUUCCUGACAGUAGUUAGACGAUGAGCAACCACAAGCGUCGUUCUGUCCACCAUGAUCCUAUUCAGUGCCUCCUGAACUAUCCUCUCCGACUCCACAUCCAAUGCACUAGUAGCUUCAUCUAACAAAAGUAUUUUGGGGUUUUUAAUGAUUGCUCUUGCAAUUGCGAUCCUUUGCUUUUGCCCCCCUGAAAGCUGAGCACCGCGUUGGCCAACCAUUGUAUCAUAACCCUGGUACAGAAUAAAAAUAAAAUAUUAGCACUCAACUAAAAUGGAAGAACUUGGAUUAGGACAAAUUAUUGAAAUUUUGACACACAUUGGGCAACUUAUCGAUGAAAUUUGCUGCAUUGGCGAGCUCAGCGGCUCUCUUGAUCUCCUCAAUUGUUGCGCCUUCUUUGCCAUAUGUAAUGUUAUCUUUAAUUGAGGUCAUAAAGAGCAAGGGCUCUUGGCUAACAAGACCAAUUUUCCCUCUUACUGAAUCAAGCUGUAAACUCUUGAUAUUGAUCCCAUCAAUCAAAACUUCACCAGCCUGCGGAUCAUAGAAUCUCUCUACAAGACUAAUCACAGUUGACUUGCCACUUCCACUCUCCCCAACUAUAGCCAUUGUAGUGCCACUAGACACAUGCAAGGAGAAUCCAUCAAAUAUCAGUUGCUCUGGCCUUGCUGGGUAGCUGAAAUACACAUCUCUCAGCUCAACAUCACCCUUGAUAUCUUCUAACUGCUUACCAGUCUUGUCAUCAGGAUCAAUCUCUGGUUUCCUCUUGAUUGUUGUGAACAAUCUGUGUGCUGCAGAUUGUCCCUCUGCAAAGGCUGUCAUACAAGGGGUUGCAUUACCUAAAGACCUGCAACACAAUCAGAAAUUAUCACUACCAACGAUGCGAUGUGAAUCAUCAUUACGAUAUGAAUUCCACUUGAAGGUGGAUAACUCACAUUGCUCCAGUCAUGAUAGCAAACAAGAUACUGAUGACUUCUCCUCCUGUGUAUCCUUUGGUAAGUAUCAACUUUCCACCGUACCAUAUGGCUAAGCCAUAGCUAGAGAAGAAUAUGAAGAAAACAGAACCCAUGCCAAAACCAUUGGCAAGUCCUUCCUUGACAGUUGUCUUGUAUGCUUUGUUUAUGAGUUUAUUGUAAUCUCCGAUGGCCUGUUUCUCCCCAUUGAAAGAGGCAACCUGUUUUACAGAUGUAGCAACAAGAUAACUUGUGAGUACUCAAGAAAUCAUAUCCUCCUUUUUCGUGGGAACGUUUCAACUAGCCAUUAUUUAAAUUGAUGUGCAAAUUGAGCUUACUGUUUUUAUGGCUCCAAUUGUCUGUUCAACAACAUUCGCUGCAUCACUGUAUGAUGCUUGACCUUUGCUAGAGAUUGUAGAUAACACUUUGGCCACUGCUCCUCCUGCAAUUACAACUGGAGGUAUGCAUGCCAACAUGACAAGAGAUAGAAGCCAUCCUUUCACAAAAGCUACCACGAAACCGCCUAUGAAAGUAGCCACAAGUUGUAGGAACUUGCCAACCUGCAGUAGUCAAUUAUGUCAUUUUUAUAUGAGUUGGAAUGUAAUGAACACACUUUUGCUUAUGCGCUCUUCAUUUGACUGGGAGAAAAUCCUUACCUUCUCACCAAUAGCAUCCUGAACUAGCACAGUAUCACCAGACAUUCUUGAAACUAUCAGCCCAGUUGUCAUUUCUACGUCGAAGAAUGAUAUAUCCUGUCUCAAGACAGAUUUAAGGUAUAGAGAUCGAACGCGUGUGGCCUGCCUUUCUCCAGUAAUUGUCCAGCAUGCCACCUCUGCACAGACAACAGGUUGGCUUGACAGUUAUUCUACCUUGACACGAGAACUAUAUGACUUAAACAUGGGUAAUUCUGUUUGCAAUUUCCUUCAGUUGCGCUAUGUGAACAAAAUUAUGUACAGUAUAUUUCUUCAUGUGUCACUUUUCAGUUGAAAUAUAAAACGUGCAUACACUGUUUUUCUUAUACUCUGUUUUGCCGUACUCUUUGGACAAGAAUUUCAGGAACACAACUUAGACUUUGCGACAUCUAGCAAUUUUGAAAUACUAGUAAGGUGUCAUCUGUCUUUUUCAGUUUAGUCAAACAUAUAUUAAUCUCAUUAUUUCUCUAUAAGAAAGAUAGCAGCCAUGUUAAGUAACUAGCAGCAAUUAUGCAGGUGGUGCGAACAGAUGUGGAGAAGUUGACAAAGUCUUCUCAUGCUCUUACGGAGAAAGGAGACCACCGCUGUUCCGAUACCCAAGUAGACAAAGUUCAGAACCGCCUGCAAGAACGAAAUGAUAACAGGGUGAAAAUUUAUUCCUGUCUUUACUGUCUUGCAGCAAUGUAAUAUAUGCAAGGAAAUAAAUCUAACUAUAUUAUGGUAAAACUCAGGUGCUAGAAAUUGUUGCAGUUUUUUUUCCUCUUUGGUAUCCAUGAUGCUGAUGGCCAACUGACAGUGACAAAGAAAGUGCAAUGCCACAAACGUG